UGGUUCAACCCUUUGCCAAGAAAGGGGAUGACGUUACCUGCUGGCUUAGCUUUUUCAUUCAUAUGUUUUGUAAAUUCAGCUAAGUCGUAGAAUAUGAGGUUUUGGUGUCCACAGAGAACCUCACCCAUACCAGUUUCUCAUGUGUACUAGCACUGCUGAGAAUCAGUUGAAGUCAAAAGGAAAUAUAAAGCCUCGUCUUUAUUAUGUCUGACUAAAGCUACGUAGCUGUAUAAUUGCUUGCUUAUGUUUGGAUGAGUCUUCUUUGGGUGUGGGUUGAGG
rnacentral:misc_RNA from 1 species